rnacentral:lncRNA from 1 species
GUGUGGGUGGUCCUUUGACCUGCGGUCAUCGGUUAUCCAUAGUAAGGCUAUUGAGUUUGACUGCAUAUUUGCUUGGUCCUUAGUAAUUUGGAUCCUUACUAUAUAUGUUGGCUAUAGUAGGUUCAAAUUCAUUAUUAAAAGUAGGAUGCACUUAGAAAGAAUCUAUUAAUCUUGAUAGAAAAAGAGAAGUCCUAUGUGAUUUACAAGAUGGAGUUCAGAAAGU